GACGGUUAAUGUUGGAGCUGGGAGCCCAGUCAUGGCAUGUGGAAACGGACAACAGUAUCGCCGUGUUAGCUGCUGGGUGGAGUCUCAGCCAUGGCAGGGCCUCGUCUGGCCGUCACCAUCGCCCUCCUGUGGAUACUGACUCUGACUGAAUGCCAAGACACACCUGUUACCUGCCUCUUCUCUGAG